rnacentral:tRNA from 1 species
GGUAAAAUGGCUGAAUUAGGUGAUAAAUUGUAAAUUUGUUGAAGAAGUUAAAAUCUUCUUUUACCA